UUCGCCCUUAGAGUUUGAUCCUGGCUCAGGAUGAACGCUGGCGGCGUGCUUAACACAUGCAAGUCGAACGAAGCACUUUUGACGGAAGUUUUCGGAUGGAAGAUGAAAGUGACUUAGUGGCGAACGGGUGAGUAACGCGUGAAUAACCUGCCUUUCAGUGGGGGACAACAGUUGGAAACGACUGCUAAUACCGCAUGAUGUUUCCGGGAGGCAUCUUCUGGAAACCAAAGCUUUAUGUGCUGAAAGAUGGAUUCGCGUCUGAUUAGCUAGUUGGUGAGGUAACGGCUCACCAAGGCGACGAUCAGUAGCCGGUCUGAGAGGAUGAACGGCCACAUUGGGACUGAGAUACGGCCCAGACUCCUACGGGAGGCAGCAGUGGGGAAUAUUGGGCAAUGGGGGAAACCCUGACCCAGCAACGCCGCGUGAAGGAAGAAGGCUUUCGGGUUGUAAACUUCUUUUACCAGGGACGAAGGACGUGACGGUACCUGGAGAAAAAGCAACGGCUAACUACGUGCCAGCAGCCGCGGUAAUACGUAGGUUGCAAGCGUUGUCCGGAUUUACUGGGUGUAAAGGGCGUGUAGGCGGAGAAGCAAGUUGGGAGUGAAAUCCAUGGGCUCAACCCAUGAACUGCUCUCAAAACUGUUUCCCUUGAGUAUCGGAGAGGCAAGCGGAAUUCCUAGUGUAGCGGUGAAAUGCGUAGAUAUUAGGAGGAACACCAGUGGCGAAGGCGGCUUGCUGGACGACAACUGACGCUGAGGCGCGAAAGCGUGGGGAGCAAACAGGAUUAGAUACCCUGGUAGUCCACGCUGUAAACGAUGAAUACUAGGUGUGGGGGGGACUGACCCCUUCCGUGGCCGCGUUAACACAAUAAGUUAUCCCCCUGGGGAGGUACGUUCGCAAAAAUGAAAAUAAAAAGAAUUGACGGAGACCAGCACAAACGGUGGAGCAAGUGGUUUAAUUCGAAGCAAACCGAGAAGAACCUUACCUGGUCUUGACAUCCCGAUGCCCGGCUCGUAACGGAGCCUUUUCUUCGGAACAUCGGAGACAGGUGGUGCAUGGUAGUCGUCAGCUCGUGUCGAGAGAUGUUGGGUUAAGUCCCGCAACGAGCGCAACCCUUAUCUUUAGUAGCCAGCGGUUCGGCCGGGCACUCUAGAGAGACUGCCAGGGAUAACCUGGAGGAAGGUGGGGAUGACGUCAAAUCAUCAUGCCCCUUAUGAUCAGGGCUACACACGUGCUACAAUGGCGUAAACAAAGGGAAGCAGCCCCGCGAGGGUGAGCAAAUCUCAAAAAUAACGUCUCAGUUCGGAUUGUAGUCUGCAACUCGACUACAUGAAGCUGGAAUCGCUAGUAAUCGCGAAUCAGAAUGUCGCGGUGAAUACGUUCCCGGGUCUU
rnacentral:rRNA from 1 species